CCACGCAAAAUGCAGCCUGGCAAUACACACAAAGUAGAUAGGCAAAUCAAAAGCACGUGGGAAAUUGAGAAGCAGAACAGAACAUAAAGAACGCCUUAGCUCAAACCCAUAUCAUGGCCCUGCAUGAUCCCUUGAAAUUAUUCAUUUAGGCCAACCCAGAUGCAGCAUGACAAUACACACAACGAAGAUAAACACAUGAAAAGCGAGUGAAAAAUUGAGAUGCAGAGGAAAAAAAAACAAAAACAAAAUCAAGUAGUCUUAGCUCAAACCCAUUUCAUGGCAUUGCCUGAACCCCCAGAAUUAUUUAUUUAAUCUACGCAAAUGCAGCCUGGCAAUACACACAACAUAGAUAAGCAAAUGAAAAGCAGGUCGGAAAUUGAGAAGCAAAAGAGAACAUAAAGAACAAAAUCACGUAGCCUUGGCUCAAACCCAUUUCAUGGCAUUGCAUGACCCAGAAGAGAACAUAAAGAACGCCUUAGCUCAAACCCAUAUCAUCACCUUGCAUGAUCCCUUGAAAUUAUUCAUUUAGGCCAACCCAGAUGCAGCCUGACAAUACACACAACGUAUAUACACAUGAAACGCGUGUGGAAAAUUGAGAAUCGAGGGGAAAAAAAAAAAAAAAAAA